rnacentral:rRNA from 1 species
UACGUAGGGUGCAAGCGUUAAUCGGAAUUACUGGGCGUAAAGCGUGCGCAGGCGGUUAUGUAAGACAGGUGUGAAAUCCCCGGGCUCCAACCUGGGAACUGGCAUUUGUGACUGCAUAGCUAGAGUACGGUAGAGGGGGAUGGAAUUCCGCGUGUAGCAGUGAAAUGCGUAGAUAUGACGGAGGAAUACCGGAUGGCGAAGGCAGCCCCCCUGGGCAAUACUGACGCUCAGUGCACGAAGCGUGGGGAGCAAACAGG